rnacentral:rRNA from 1 species
UGCAGUCGAACGAUGAAGCCUGGCUUGCUGGGUGGAUUAGUGGCGAACGGGUGAGUAACACGUGAGCAACCUGCCCCUAACUCUGGGAUAAGCGCUGGAAACCGCGUCUAAUACUGGAUAUGUCCCAUCACCGCAUGGUGUGUGGGUGGAAAGAUUUUUCGGUUGGGGAUGGGCUCGCGGCCUAUCAGCUUGUUGGUGAGGUAAUGGCUCACCAAGGCGUCGACGGGUAGCCGGCCUGAGAGGGUGACCGGCCACACUGGGACUGAGACACGGCCCAGACUCCUACGGGAGGCAGCAGUGGGGAAUAUUGCACAAUGGGCGGAAGCCUGAUGCAGCAACGCCGCGUGAGGGAUGACGGCCUUCGGGUUGUAAACCUCUUUUAGCAGGGAAGAAGCGAGAGUGACGGUACCUGCAGAAAAAGCACCGGCUAACUACGUGCCAGCAGCCGCGGUAAU